UACGUAGGGUGCAAGCGUUAUCCGGAUUCACUGGGUUUAAAGGGUGUGUAGGCGGGUAUUUAAGUCAGUGGUGAAAUCUCCGGGCUCAACCCGGAAACUGCCAUUGAUACUAUUUAUCUUGAAUAUUGUUGAGGUAGGCGGAAUAUAUCAUGUAGCGGUGAAAUGCUUAGAUAUGAUAUAGAACACCGAUUGCGAAGGCAGCUUACUAAACAAUUAUUGACGCUGAGGCACGAAAGCGUGGGGAUCAAACAGG
rnacentral:rRNA from 1 species